CGGAUACUGGAAUACGUCACGAGUUGCAAGCCUGAGGCCCCCAGACACAUAGAGGAGGCUCCGAUCCCAGAGGACUGGCCAAAGAGCGGAGCCAUCACCUUCCAGGACUAUAAGAUGAGGUACAGAGAGAAUACACCCAUCGUCCUGAAUGGGCUCAAUUUCUUCAUCCAAGCUGGAGAGAAGCUGGGCAUUGUGGGAAGGACAGGCUCUGGGAAGUCCUCUUUAGGCGUGGCUCUGUUCAGGCUGGUGG